UACGUAGGGGGCAAGCGUUGUCCGGAUUUAUUGGGCGUAAAGAGCGUGUAGGCGGCCAGGUAGGUCUGCUGUGAAAACUCGAGGCUCAACCUCGAGAUGUCGGCGGAAACCAUCUGGCUAGAGUCCGGAAGAGGAAAGUGGAAUUCCCGGUGUAGCGGUGAAAUGCGCAGAUAUCGGGAAGAACACCCGUGGCGAAGGCAGCUCUCUGGGACGGUACUGACGCUGAGACGCGAAAGCGUGGGGAGCGAACAGG
rnacentral:rRNA from 1 species